AUUGAACGCUGGCGGUAUGCCUAACACAUGCAAGUCGAACGGCAGCACAGUAAGAGCUUGCUCUUACGGGUGGCGAGUGGCGGACGAGUGAGGAAUACAUCGGCAUCUACUUUUUCGUGGUGGAUGACGUAGGGAAACUUACGCUAAUACCGCAUACGACCUACGCGUGAAAGCAUCGGAUCUUCGGACCUUGCGCGAGUGAAUGAGCCGAUAUCGGAUUAGCUAGUUGGCGGGGUAAAGGCCCACCAAGGCGACGAUCCGUAGCUGGUCUGAGAGGACGAUCAGCCACACUGGAACUGAGACACGGUCCAGACUCCUACGGGAGGCAGCAGUGGGGAAUAUUGGACAAAGGGCGCAAGCCUGAUCCAGCCAUACCGCGUGGGUGAAGAAGGCCUUCGGGUUGUAAAGCACUUUUGUUGGGAAAGAAAAGCAGUAGGUUAAUACCCCGCUGUUCUGACGGUACCCAAAGAAUAAGCACCGGCUAACUUCGUG
rnacentral:rRNA from 1 species